CUGCCCUCAAGCCCGGCUUGUGUGUUGGGUCCCGUCCUCCAAUUCUGGGGGACGGGCCCGAAAGGCAGCGGCGGCACCGAGUCCGGUCCUCGAGCGUAUGGGGCUUUGUCACCCGCUCUGUAGGCCCGGCCGGCGUUUGCCAACCAACCCAAAUUUUUAUUCA
rnacentral:misc_RNA from 1 species